UUGGCUGAGAAGCCAGCCGACUACGCGAAGACAGAAGCGCCCCUGAGGUCGCUUCCGCGCAAAGCCGCAUCAGUUGGGUAGGGUUCGCACCCGCGCCGCUCCUCAACUCUCUCGUCCCCAUCGCUACUCCCAUCGCCGCCGCAGGUGUCCUCCAUCGCAUCUCCCUCCGCCGCGCGGGUCCUCUUCGCAGCGCUAGGGUUUCACCGCGGACCCGCAAAUCCUUCGUGACCUCCCUCUGCUGUCGUCAACCAGUGGACUCGUCCCCCCCUUUCCUAUCUCGGCGACGACGCAGAUUUCCCCAGCAACUCGGAUUAUUCGUCUGAGGAUCCAAGA